rnacentral:rRNA from 1 species
ACGGCAGCACGGGUGCUUGCACCUGGUGGCGAGUGGCGAACGGGUGAGUAAUGUAUCGGAACGUAUCCGGAAGUGGGGGAUAGCCCGGCGAAAGCCGGAUUAAUACCGCAUAUGCCCUGAGGGGGAAAGUGGGGGACCGCAAGGCCUCAUGCUUUCGGAGUGGCCGAUAUCGGAUUAGCUAGUAGGUUAGGUAAAGGCUGACCUAGGCGACGAUCCGCAGCGGGUCUGAGAGGAUGAUCCGCCACACUGGGACUGAGACACGGCCCAGACUCCUACGGGAGGCAGCAGUGGGGAAUUUUGGACAAUGGGGGCAACCCUGAUCCAGCCAUGCCGCGUGAGUGAAGAAGGCCUUCGGGUUGUAAAGCUCUUUCGGACGGAAAGAAAUUGCCAUCUCUAACAUAGGUGGUGGAUGACGGUACCGUAAGAAGAAGCACCGGCUGACUACGUGCCAGCAGCCGCGGUAAUACGUAGGGUGCGAGCGUUAAUCGGAAUUACUGGGCGUAAAGCGUGCGCAGGCGGUUUUGUAAGACAGGCGUGAAAUCCCCGGGCUUAACCUGGGAACUGCGCUUGUGACUGCAAGGCUAGAGUGCGGCAGAGGGGGGUAGAAUUCCACGUGUAGCAGUGAAAUGCGUAGAGAUGUGGAGGAAUACCGAUGGCGAAAGCAGCCCCCUGGGUCGACACUGACGCUCAUGCACGAAAGCGUGGGGA